rnacentral:rRNA from 1 species
AUUGAACGCUGGCGGCAGGCCUAACACAUGCAAGUCGAACGAGUGGCGGACGGGUGAGUAAUGUCUGGGAAACUGCCUGAUGGAGGGGGAUAACUACUGGAAACGGUAGCUAAUACCGCAUAACAUCCGAUGUGCCCAUAUGGGAUUAGCUAGUUGGUGGGGUAACGGCUCACACAGGCGACGAUCCCUAGCUGGUCUGAGAGGAUGACCAGCCACACUGGGACUGAGACACGGCCCAGACUCCUACGGGAGGCAGCAGUGGGGAAUAUUGCGCAAUGGGCGCAAGCCUGAUGCAGCCAUGCCGCGUGUAUGAAGAAGGUCUUCGGGUUGUAAAGUACUUUCAGUGGGGAGGCGUUACCCGAAGAAGAAGCACCGGCUAACUCCGUGCCAGCCGCCGCGGUAAUUC